CCUUACCAAACGCUUCGAGGAGCUGACUGCAGCGAAGAACACCCGGGAAGGAACACACCGGACAAGUUGGAAGGGAUCAAACUGGAGUCCUUGAGCUUGCGCAGCAGGCGGCAAAACCACUGAGCUAAAUCCCCGGCAUCAUACACAUUCUAACCAAUGAAAAGAUCCGAAUUCCAGCGGGGAGCAGAGAAAAUAACUAGUUCCUUCUUCCCUUCCUAAAUUAAAAGCUCUUAGAUGAUUUGCUAAUUCACUCAGAAAGGCUGCCAAGCAGUUGUUUGCUCUGCAUACUGUAAAUAUGACCUUCAAAGAAUAAAAGUAUAAGCUUCAAUUCAUGUGAAGGACAUCUGAAGUUCAUUUCCAUGAAAUCUGUUAAGAACCUGUAUGUGAACCUGUUAAAAAUCCUGCUUUUCUCCACGUCAGAAAAAUUUUUCUCUAGUUGCUGAUGGUGCAAUGACCAGGGGUUACUGAAAAAGUGCACAUUAAACCAACAACAGCUAUAUGUUUAAUAAGUUGUCAGCUCAUCCCUGGAGCGGAGCACAAGAACACAUCUGGAUUCAAAGAUGUCAGGCUCUGAGGCUCUUUCUGAAGGCAAGCUCCAGAAGCAUUUGAAAAACAAAUGAACUAUAUUUACUGAGAAACAACUGGAAGAUUUGAACCUCUUUUUUCAAUAGAAACCCAUACACAGACAUCAGCCUUAGGAAGAAGAGGGCCUUAAAGAUAAACACAGAUCCAACAGUACUACAGGUUUGGUUCAAGAACCAGAGAGCAAAGUUCAAGAAAGCAAAAUGUAAUAACAUUCAGAAAAACCAGGGAGCUCAACAUCAACAGUUACCUGGGGCAGAAACUUCAACCAGUCCUUCCCAGGGAAAUGUGGACACACUACCCUAGUCCUCUGAUGGCACUCCCUAUGGCUCUAAUUUAUUCAAGUCAUGUGACCCACUUUCUAAUACAGUAUAUGCCCCACUAAGGACCCCACAGAACACUCUAGGGGGCCACAAAAUAGUCCAUUUUGGCUGCUGUCAAGACUCUGCUGUGUACUGCCUUCUUUCCAUUUUGGAAUCUCAAGAUUGCCCUCCAAGUUUGACUCCUCAUAUGAAGGAGAGAGAGAAGAUAGACACAAGAUGUCACGUAUGGUGUGAUGGUUGUAAUGAUUCCCAUACAAGGGCACGCUUUCCAGCAAUAAGGAUCAAACUAGAGCUAAACACAACUACAUGGGUAGACUUUAAAAACAUGUUGAAAGAAAAAGACAGUAAUGACAGUCUGAGCUCAGAAUAAUAAACACAACAUUUUUGGGAAA